rnacentral:rRNA from 1 species
UACGAGUGCCUCGAGCGUUAUCCGGAAUCAUUGGGCGUAAAGGGUGUGUAGGCGGCGUUGUUAGUCUCCCGUUAAAUUCCUCGGCUCAACCGGGGGCUCGCGGGAGAAACGGCAAUGCUCGAGAUCGGCAGGGGUCACUGGAACUCUAGGUGUAGCGGUGAAAUGCGUUGAUAUCUAGGGGAACACCAAAAGCGAAGGCAGGUGACUGGGCCGUUUCUGACGCUGAAACACGAAAGCGUGGGUAGCGAAUGGG